GCUGCAUGGCCUACCCAUAGCGGCGGUGGGAGCCUCCGCCGGGGAGAGCCCGCUCGGGGGCAGGAAGUGGCCCGGCCCUCCUCGUGGAGGGCGUUUCCGGAGCGCCUACUGUGCUCCUUGCCGGGGUGGGGGUCGUUACCGAGUGGGAACUUCUGCAAAUCCUGACUUUUGUCACUUCGCGCCCCGCACAAGAUGUCCUGCCGGCGGUGCGAUUGGUCCCGUUGCUUCGAGGGGAAACUGAGGCCACUUAGUCCGGGCACUUACCCGCAGCUAGUUAAGGACUAGGCUCUGAUGGAGACGCUUGUUACGACCUCAAUGGCCUGUAGAAUCUGGGAGGCCGCCUCCGACCUAAGCCCAAAAAGCACAUGAUCGGGCUCACAGGGGGCGGCCAGAGGUGAAAACAGCCAACGCUUUACAACGACGCUGUGCGGGGCACUUCGUGUGUGUCAUCCCGUCUCAUCCUCGGGUGAUAGGAACUGUUCAUUCGGGAAAAUUGCAAACAACUAAAUACCCCUCACCAGGAGCUGGCCCAUUAUAGCAACUCUGAGACCUCUCUACCGCAGGCUCUUAAAAUGGGACACCGCCGCCCGCCCCUCGGGCACCGGACACAGGCGCGGCUGAGGACUGACGGCCCCCUGGAAGCCACUCGGGAGUCCUAGAUUUUGCUGAAGGAAGAAGGGGCUGGAGAAAAUAAAAGGGCAGGAGUCUGGAGUGUGAUAACUGUGGCUUCGUCUCAUUUCCACCCGCCAAGACUAAAACUUCCCUCAUCUGCUCAGCGAGCCUGGUCUGGGCCUCCGGGACAUAAAUCUCGAUGCUGUCUGCGCUCUCGGUGGCUGAGUUCUGCCGCACAGAAGCUGCCCGCUUGGCCGCCAGGAGUCUCUUGCGGGCCUCCUGGCGCUGCUUGUCGCUGGCGUCUGAGGCCUUGUCGCGGCUCACUGCCGGCUUGGAUUUGGCUGGCUUCUUUGGGACCGGAGGGGGUGGUUUCUUCUCUUCCUUUAGUGAGACAGUGAGGAGAGAACAAAAAUAAAAUAAAGGUGCCACGUUUUGUGUGGCACUACCCCCACCAUAUGCCGGCAGCUGGAGUCUCCACCCCAGCCUCCCCGCAUCGGGCACAAGCAACACACACUUGGAAUCAGGAAGCCACGAGAAGCGAUGACUGACAGUGGGAAGAGCUCAAGGCACUGGAGCAGAAAGCAAGCCUAGACUCCGAGAGCGCUCGAGCAGCGGGGACGGGCAGAUCCCAUUGUCCACCCUCAUGUUGAAUCACCGGGAGCCCGAGACUCGGGCAGGAACUAGCCCGAGUCACAGUCAGAGACAAAUUUAGGGCUUCAGGUCCCAUUUUACAGGCUAUUCUAGGGGAUUAGACAGGGCCACGGUUCAACAGGGGUCACUGGUUCUGGUUUGCAGAAGGAAGCCUCAGGGAAGAGGCUGGCUACCACAAGGUCACAGAGCUGGCUCCAGACCCCAGGACUCCUGGCAGCAGGGCCCCAGGAGAAGGGACCAUUUUUGCUGCCUCCUCUGUUAUAACGUGAUUGAGGCUGUGGGCGUGCCUCUCCCAGGAUCCCCUUUUCUGGACAUGCAGGGCAGGACACAUGCUUCAGGGGCAGCCUCAACUACACGGAGCAAGCGGCAUGCCAGACAAGUGCCAAGCAUGGACCCCACGCAGUGAUGGAUGUGAGACCCCAGCUCAAAGACGACACACGGAGAAGGGAGCCAAGCAGCACUGACCGAUGUGGGCAGCGUUAUUGCCGACCAGGAAUUUGUCCCUGGACUUCCCCUCCGCACUGCUCCAUGCUCACCUUCCUCUUCUCGGGGGUCUCCACCAGCUGCCAGCUGUUGGCCUUGAGGUGGUAGAGUUCAUCGAACUUCAUGCUGAUAUCCUCGAUGGACAGCUGUAGCAGGUCCCAGAACCCUGCCAGGUCCUGGGCUGUGGGGCGUGGGUUGGCAUCAGGGUUCUGUGGGCCAGAUGGGGAUCAGUGGGGCCAGCUCAGCAGAGGCUUGUCCUGCUCCCCCCAACCCCCCAACAAGCAGGGUUCCUCUGGGCCCUGCCAGCACCCGCGGGGGCUCUUGAGGCCUAGUGUCUGGGUAAGUAUCUGUAUGAAUGAAUCUAAGCCAGUUCUGGUCAGCACCAGCCCUAGUGGUGGGGAUCUUUGGGGGAUAGUCUAAGGGCUGUGGCAAGGAAGGCACUCCUGUCCCUAAUGUAUGUGUAUGCUAGCAGACAGGUAUUCUCGUUUUGCAGGGAAGAAACAGAAGUUCUUGGCCAUGGUGUGACAGUGACACCGAGAGAAGCCCGAUUCACUCCCAGGUGGGAAAGGUCACAGAAUCUGUGUUGUUUCCCUCGUGUCACUCUGUUCCAUGACAACGCAACCCCCAAGUCUCUGUAGGUCUUGGAGACAAACACUCACUCCACUGCCUCCCGCUGGGAGUACACACAUUCCCACAGGCAGAACAGCCCAGGACUUUGCUUUUGACCCUGGCAGGGCCAGCCCUCCUAACAGGUAAGAGGGAGGGAGAAAGCCAAGCCACCAAUCCCAGCAGUGGGAUUUCUUUGUUUUUUUUUUUUUUUUUUUUUUUUUUUUUUUUUUUUUUGAGACGGAGUCUCGCUCUGUCACCCAGGCUGGAUGCAGUGACGCGAUCUCGGCUCACUGCAAGUUCCACCUCCCGGGUUCACACCAUUCUCCUGCCUCAGCCUCCCGAGUAGCUGGGACUACAGGCACCCGCCACUACGCCUGGCUAAUUUUUUGUCUUUUUAGUACAGAAGGGGUUUCACCGUGUUAGCCAGGAGGGUCUCCAUCUCCUGACCUCAUGAUCUGCCUGCCUCGGCCUCCCAAAGUGCUGGGAUUACAGGCGUGAGCCACUGCGCCUGGCCAAAAAAUAUAUAUGUAUAUAAUUUUUGAGACAGAGUUUCGCUGUCAUUGCCCAGGCUGGAGUGCUGGAGUGCAGUGGCACGAUCUCGGCUCACCACAACCUCUGUCUCCCGGGUUCAGGCGAUUCUCCUGCCUCAGCCUCCCGAGUAGCUGGGAUUACAGGUGUGCACCACCACGCCCAGCUAAUUUUGUAUUUUUAGUAGAGACAGGGUUUCUCCAUGUUGGUCAGGCUGGUCUCGAACUCCGGACCUCAGGUGAUCCACCCGCCUCAGCCUCCCAAGUGUUGGAAUUACAGGCAUGAGCCACUGUGCCCGGCCGAUACAGAAUAUAUUUUAUAUAAAUAAACCAGUGCUAAUUGACUUUACCAUCCAUGUGGCUGUUUCAACAUGGAAAGAUAUUAGAGAUCUGAUAGGGCCACUUUUGCCCCCUUUCUUGUGCUAGACACUGACACACAUUGCCACUGUCCUUCCAGCACCAUGAGGAAGCCGCGCUGUGUGUGUUACAGAGGAGGGCACAGAGGCUUCGAGGGGCUGGCAGAGUAUAGUGGGCAGCCAAAGGCUGGAAGCCCUGCUGUGGAGGAAGGAGAAUCACACUCACCAAGUUUUGCUCACAGAGGCCCCGGAACUGCUGGAAUUUCUGGGACAUCAGUAGCUGGGCACUGCCCACAGCACUGAGGACUUUUCCUAAGACUGAGAAACAGAGGGUGGAAAAAGACUGAUUUAGCACAGCACAGGGUUUGGUGGGAUGGCAUCAUGCUUUUAAUCUCCUCCCACACUCCCUUAGGGUAGAACUCAUUAUUUCAUGAUGGCGGUGGUCUUCAUUUUAUCUACACAUUAAUCCAUUCUCAUUGAGAAAAACACAAACAAUAUAAAGCCAACCCCAUCCCAUUUCCUGAGGAUAUGUUAUGGCAACAAAUAUGAAAACUGAGUGUAAAUGUAAAACAUUUUCCAGAAAAACAUAAAUCAUGGUCUUAAGAGAGGCUGCGUACAGUGGCUCACGCCUGUAAUCCCAGCACUUUUUGGGAGGCUGAGGCAGAUCACCUGAGGUCAGGAGUUAAAGACCAGCCUGGGCAGCAUGAUGAAAUCCCGUCUCUACAAAUAUAUGAAAAUUAGCCGGACAUAAUGGCAGAUGCCUGUAAUCCCAGCUACUCAGGAGGCUGAGGCAGGAGAAUCAUUUGAACCCAGCGGGUGGAGGUUACAGUGAGCCAAGAUGGCGCCACUGCACUCCAGCUUGGGUGACAGAGGGAGACUCAGUCUCAAAAUAAAAAAUCUGAUUAGACUCAUAAAUAUUUUUAAGAAACUGAAGCAGAACUCUUCUCAGAAAAAGGAACUAGGUGUAAGUAGUUUUACAGCUGAGGUAUUAAAAACUUUCAAAGAACAGGAAAUCCCUUUUUUAUAUAUUCCGUUCCAGAGAUUAAAUAAACAUGGAAAAUGAUGCAACUGGUUUUAAGAACUCUGAGAGCAGAUAGGACAUGCCAAGAAUGGACCACUUUCACUAACAUAAAUGUAGAAGUCUUAAAGUAUAAGCAAAUAGGAUCUAUCAGAAGAAUUGUAAAAAAUAAAUAUCCUAAUCGAGAAGUCUCUUUAACCCAGGAAUACAAGGUUGAUCUUGUAUUAUGACUUCUAGUUUUAAAGUGCUGGCAUCAGCCGGGCAUAGUGGCUCAUGCCUGUAAUCCCAGCACUUAGGGAGGCAGGAGGUCUCCACCAAAAAUACAAAAAAUUAGCUGGGUGUGCUAGUGCGCAUCUGUGGUCCCAGCUACCUGGGAGGCAGAGGCUGUGGUGAGCUUAGACCAUGCCACUGCACUCCAGCCUGGGGGACAGAGUGAGACCCCCUGCCUCAAAAAAAUCAUAAAGUACUGGCACAGCUGAGCACUUUGAGAGGCCUAGGCCACGGGGUAUAAAAGUCCAUCUCUACAGAAAAUACAAAAAUAAGCCAGGCAUGGUAGCAUGUGCCUGUAGCCCCAGCUACUUGGGAGGAUCACUUGAACUAGGUAGGUUGAGGCUGCAGUGAGCUGUGAUGACAGCAUUGCACUCCAGCCUGAGUGACAAAGUGAGACCUUGCCCCCACCCCCACCACACACAAAAGGUGCUGGCAUAAAGACAGUGCCACCCAUCCCCAACCCCCUUAGAAAUCACUGAAAAGCAAACAAAGUAAACAAGAUGGGGGAGGCUGAGGCGGGUGGAUCACAAGGUCAGGAAUUCGAGACCAGUCUGGCCAACCUGGUAAAACCCUGUCUCUACUAAAAAUACAAAAUUAGCCAGGCGUGGUGGCCCAUGCCUGUAAUCCCAGCUAUUUGGGAGGCUGAGAUAGGAGAAUCUGAACCUGGGAGGCGGAGGUUGCAGUGAGCCAAGAUCACGCCCACUACGCUCCAGCGUGGGUGGCAGAGUAAGACUCCAUCUCAAAAACCAAACAAACAAAAGGAGCAUACCCAAUAAUCUCUUAUUUGAAAUAAUCUCUUAUUUGAAAUUAAAAAAGGAGGCUUGGGCAUAGUGGCUCAGACCUAUAAUCCCAGUACUUUAGGAGGCUUGAGGCAGGAGGAUCACUUGAGCCCAGGAGUUCAAGACCAGCCUGGGCAACAAAGUGAAACCCUCUCUCUAUGAAAAAAUUCAAAAAUUAGCUGGGUGUGGUAGUGGAUGCCCAUAGUCCCAGCUAUCCAGGAGGCAAGGCGGGGCGGGAGGAUUGUUUGAACCCAGGGUUUCAAGGCUGCAGUGAACUAUGAUGGCACCACUGCAUUCCUCCAACCUGGGUGACAGAGCAAGACCCUGUCUCAAAAACAAAAAAGAAAGAGUGUGGACUGCAGCAAGAGCUUUCCUGAACCUAGCCGGCAACAAGGAGAAUGACAGAGGUGGGGAGGUCCUGCACUGUGAGGAGCCCUGUAGUUGCCUGUGGAGAAGAAAAUCCUGAUAGAACUCUUCCAGGCACCCAUCCCACGUACAGAUUCCUGCCAGCCUGGGACACAGUCCUGGCCCGUCUCUCACAAUGAUCUACUUACAAGAGCUCAUCAAGAAAGAAUUCACCUCAUUAAGAAAUUAGUAAUUAAAAGGGAACUGACACAGGAGUUAAAGAUAUUACAGGAACAGCAAAUGGCACAUGAAUACUUACCAGAAAUUGUUGCCAGGGAAUAGAUGAAAAUUGUAACAUUUAUCCAAGAAUAUGUAAAAGAGCUCAAAGCAGAGAUAGUAAGACAAUGGAAAGAGAUAAAACAGGGGCUCUGGAACUAGAGCAGGAGGAAAAUCAGGCCAUCAUAGAAACAAGGCCACCCUGGAGAUCGUACAGAGAUUCAACCCUGCUGAGGACUUGUCCUGAGUAGCAGAGCCCUACAGGGAGAGGAGGGCUGAAAGGCUUCAGGUACAAAAUGCUUCAGCUGCCCCAUGAAUAGAAUAAAACUUUAAUUUUAAAUGAAUAGUUAAGCUGGGGGGAAUAAAAUGAGCUCCCCAGGGUAGACAGUGGGGACCUGUGUCUGGCUUAGUUUAAAGAAGAGUGGGAAUAAAAGGGAGUCUUAAUUAUUAUAUAAGACUGCACCUGGGUACUUUAUCUUUUUAGAAACAGAAGUAGGGACUAAGUAAUAAAAAAGAAAAACUACUAAAAAGAGAUUCAGAGGCAUGGAAGAGAAAGAACAUGCAUCUAUCAGAGUUCUAAAAGGGGACAGAGGGAUGGGAGAAAUCAGAGGGAUCAUGGUUAUGAACGUGGAGGCUCACGCCUGUAAUCCCAGCACUUUGAAAGGCAAAGGCCAAGGCAGGCAGAUCACUCGAGGCCAGGAGUUCGAGAGCAACCUGGGCAACAUGGCAAAACUCCGUCUCUACUAAAAAUACAAAAAAUAGCCAGAUGUGGUGGCACAUGCCUGUAAUCCCAGCACUUUGGGAGGCCAAGGUGAGGUCGGCAGUUCAAGACCAGCCUGGUCAACAUGGCAAAACCCCAUCUCUACUAAAAAUACUAAAAUUAGCCGGGCUUGGUGGUGGACACCUGUAAUCCCAGCUACUCAGGAGGCUGAGGCAGGAGAAUCACUUGAACCCGGGAGGCAGAGGUUGCAGUGAGCCAAGAUCACGCUACUGCACUCCGGCCUGGGUAACAGAGGGAGACUCUGUCUCAAACAAACAAAACUCUCAGAUGAAAACAUAAGACCAAAUCUCCAUGACCUUGGAUUUUGCAAUGGUUUCUUAAGACACCAAAAGCAUAAGCAAUGAAAGAAGGGGAAAAAAAAAAAGCAGAUAAAGAAGGGAAAAAAAAGCAGAUAAACUAGACGUCAUUAAAUGGAAAACUUUUUAUGCAUCGAAGGACACUAUGAAGAAAAAAGCUGGGUGUGGUGGCUUAUGCCUAUAAUCCUAGCCCUUUGAGAGGCUGAGGUGGGUGUAUCACUUGAGGUCAGGAGUUUGAGACCAGUCUGCCCAACAUGGUGAAACCCUGUCUCUACUAAGAAUACAAAAAUUAGCUAGGCUGGUGACGCAUGCCUAUUAAUCGCAGCUACUCGGGGGUGCUGAGGCAGGAGAAUCACUUGAACCUGGGAGGUGGAGGGUGCAGUGAGCUGAGAUUGUGCCACUGCACUCCAGCCUGGGCAACAGAGUGAGACUCUGUCUCAUAGAAAAAAAGACACUAUGAAGAAAUGAAGCCAACGCACAGAAUGGGAGAAAAUCUCUGCAAAUCAUGUAUCUGAUAAGGGUUUAAUGCCAAGAAUAUAUAUAUAUAAGAAUUCCCUACAACUGAACAACAAAAAGAUAAACCCAGUUUUAAAAUGUACAAGGAUAGUUCUCCAAAGAUAGAUGUUCAGUAAAUAUGCUCAACAUCUCAACAGCAUUAGUCAUCAGGGAACUGCACAUCAAAACCAUAAUGAUACUUCAUACCCAUUAAGAUAGCUAUCAAGGCUCCUGCCUGUAAUCCCAGAACUUUAGGAGGCCGAGGUGGAGUACCACUUGAGCCUGGGAGUUCAGGACCAGCCUGGGCAACACAGUGAGACCUCUUCUCUACCAAAAGAAAAAAAAAAAAACAAACUGGGCAUGGUGGUGCACACCUGUAGUCCCAGCUACACAGGAGGCUGAGGUGGGAGGAUUGCUUGAGCCCAGAAGGUCAAGGCUGCAGUGAGCUAUGAUGGCACUAUUGUUAAUUUCAGCCUGGGCAGCAGAGUGAAACCCUGUCUCCAGAACAAACAAACAAACAAACAAACCCCAAAAGCUAUCAAGAAAAGUGGAAGCAAGUGUUGCAAAGAUGUGGAGAGAUUGGAACCCUGUGCAUUACUGGUAGGAAUAUAAAAUGAUGCAGCUGCUGUGGAAAAUAGUUGGGUGGUUCCUCAGAAAGCGAGACAUAGAUCUGCCACAUGAUCAACCAAUUCCACUUCUGGGUAUAAACCCAAAAGAAUUGAAAACAGACUUAAACAGAUACUUGUACGCCAAUAUUUAUAGCAGUUUGACUCACAGUAGCCAAAAGGUAGAAACAACCCAAGUGUCUGUCAAUAGAUGAAUAGACUCUGACUAAAAAGAAAAUCUGUGUGUACAUGCACGCACGCACACGCACGCACACAGACAGAAAACUCUAAACCUCAUAUAAAAUAUACUUCUCACACAUGGAACAUUUGCUAAAAAUGACCACAUUCUUGGCCAUAAAAUAUACAAUAAAUUAAAUUACAAAGAACUGACUGGGUAUCAUACAGAUCAUGUGUUUUGUUUUUGAGAUAGGGUCUCUGUCUUGUCACCCAGGCUGGAGUGCAGUGGUGCCAUCACGGCUCACUGCAGCCUUGACCUUCUGUGCGUGCGCAAUCCUCCUGCCUUAGCUUCCUGUGUAGCUAGGACUACAGGAGUGCACCACCACGCCCAGCUAAUUUUUUUUUUUUUGAGAUGGAGUCUCGCACUGUUGCCCGGGCUGGUGUGCAGUGGUACGAUCUCGGCUCGCUGCAACCUCUGCCUCCCGGGUUCAAGCGAUUCUCCUGCCUCAGUCUCCCAAGUAGCUGGGACUACAGGCGCGCACCACCACACCUGGCUAAUUUUUGUAUUUUUAGUAGAGAUGGGGGUUUCACGAUGUUGACCAGGCUAGUCUCGAACUCCUGACCUCGUGAUCCGCCUGCCUCAGCCUCCCAAAGUGCUGGGAUUACAGGCAUGAACCACUGCGCCCGGCCUAAUUUUUUAUUUAUUUAUUUAUUUUUUAAAUAGAGAAGAGGUCCUGCUAUGUUUCCCAGGCUGGUCUUAAACUUCUAGGCUGAACUGAUCCUCCUGCCUCAGCCUUUCAAAGUGCUAGGAUUGUAGGCAUGAGCCACCAGAUCAUGUUUUUUGACAUUAAUAUAAAUAGGUUAGAAACCAGUAAUGAAAACAUAACUAAUAAACUCCCAUAUAAAAACAAAGAUUUACACAUCUAAAUAACCCAGUCGUCAAAGAAAUCACAGUGGAAGUUGCAGAUCUUGUCAGAUACAGCUAAAGUAGUAGUUAAAGAGAAAUGCAUCGGCUUCAAAGCUUAUAUAAAAGGACAGGCUGAAAAAAAUGAAUUAGCUUCCAAUUUAAGACAUUAGUAAGGGAAUAAUACAAUUAACCCAAAGAGAAGAGAAAUUAAUAAAAAUAAGAGGAUUAAUAAAAUUAACAAACCCUGUCAGACUGAUCAAGAUCAAAAGAAGACAGAUGCAAAUAAAGAUUAGGAAUGAGUAAAGGAUAAUGUGAUAUAGCUAUACUAGAAAAGAUACUCAAAACUAGAGUUAUACACAACCAUGAAAUAAAAUCCUGGUUUUUUUUUUUUUGAGACCGAGUCUUGUCUUGUUUUGUUGCCCAGGCUGGAGUAAAGUGGUGGGAUCUCAGCUCACUGCAACCUCUGCCUCCCGAGUUCAAGCAAUUCUCCUGCCUCAGCAUCCUGAGUGUAGCUCGGAUUACAGGCACCCGCCAUCAUGCCCAGCUAAUUUUUGUAUUUUUGUAGAAAUGGGGUUUCACCAUGUUGGCCAGGCUGGUCUUGAACUCCUGACCGUGAGCUGUCCACCUUGGCCUCCCAAAGUGCAGGAUUACAGGUGUGGGCCACUGCACCUGGCAAAAUCCUGUUGUUAAAUUCCUUCAGAGACUAUGAGAAGAGGAAACGUCCCACACUGAUUUUUGAAGCUAGAGAACCUUAAAACUACAACAGGACAAGGAUAGAAAGGAAAGAUUACAAGCCAAUGUCUCAUGAACAAAGACAAAAUUAUUAAAUCACAUAUUAAACCCGGCAGUGUACUAAAAUAAUAUAUCAUAAAUUUAGCUGGGUUUAUUCUGAGAAUGCAAGACUGAUUCAACAUUGACAAUUGUAAUCACUUCUGAUUCUGGCUAAGACAAACCAGUGAGUGUCAGACAAGCUGACUUCUCCCAACCACCAACAAAUUAAAAAAAAAAAAUCAGUAACAACAACUCAUUUUCAAAACAUUAAGAAACUACUAGGCCGGGCACGGUGGCUCACACCUGUAAUCCCAGCACUUUGGGAGGCUGAGGUGGGCGGAUCACCUGAGGUCAGGAGUUUGAGGUCAACCUGGCCAACACGUUGAAACCUCAUCUCUACUAAAAAUACAAAAAAUAACCGGGUGUGGUGGCACAUGCCUGUAGUCCAAGCUACUCGGGAGGUUGAGGCAGGAGAAUCGCUUUGCUCUGUUGUCCAGACUGGAGUGCAGUGGCGCAAUCUCAGCUCACUGCAACCUCCACCUCCCAGGUUCAUGCAAUUCUCAUGCCUCAGCCUCCCCAGUAGCUGGGAUUACAGGCGCCCGCACCACGCCUGGCUGAUUUUUAUAUUUUAAGUAGAGACGGGAUUUCAUCAUGUUGGCCAGGCUAGUCUCAAACUCCUGGCCUCAAGUGAUCUGCCCACCUCGGCCUCCGAAAGUGCUGGGAUUACAGGCGUGAGGCACUGCGUCCAGCCUUUUCUUUCUUUUUUUUUAAGACACAGGUUCGGCCAGGCGCAGUGGCUCAUGCCUGUAAUCCCAGCACUCUGGGAGGCCGAGGCGGGCGGAUCACGAGGUCAGGCGUGAGCCACCGCACCCGGCUGUAUUUUUUAUAGAGAUACAAAAUAUAAAAUUAGCCAGGCAUGGUGUUUCGUGGGGUUUCAUUAUGUUGCCCAGGCUAGUCUUGAACUUUUGGGAUCAAGUGAUCCACCUGCCUCAGCCUCCCAAAGUGUUGGGACUACAGGCAUAAGCCACUACGCCCAGCCAUACACAGAACUUUUGAUUUUUUUUCCUUCAUAUCUAACAGCAACUUUAUUCAGAGGAAAUGAAACACAGCAAGCCUUUAGGCAUAGUGUGAAUUUCCCAGGACAAAGUACUGUCAAUUUUUUUUUUUUUUUUUUUUUUUCCUGAGACGGAGUCUAGCUCUGUUGCCCAGACUGGAAUGCAAUGGCGCAAUCUGGGCUCACUGCAACCUCUGCCUCCCGGGUUCAAGUGAUUCUCCGGUCUCAGCCUUCCAAGUAGCUGGGAUUACAGGUGCACGCCACCACGCCCCGCUAACUUUUUGUAUUUUAGUAAAGAUGGAGUUUCACCAUGUUGCCCAGGCUGGUCUCGAACUCCUGAGUUCAGGCAAUCCACCCACCUCGGCUCCCAAAGUGCUGGGAUUACAGGCAUGAGCCACCGUGCCCAGCCAGUACUGUCACAUUAAAACUCUGAGGCAUGGCAUGCGAAGUACUAGAAUCCUACAACAAGUUAUACUAGGAUCAGGAUUAGAAUAAGGAUUCUGUUGUUAGCAUUAUGCCAACUCUCUAUAAUGUGCACACUGUCUACUAAGCACAGCAUAGGCUUCUGAAAACAAGUGAUCUGUGUGGACCUUUUAUUUUUAACUGGGCACAUAGCCUGGAAUCAAGCAUUUCCUAGACUCCCCUGCAGCAAGAUAUGCAUAGUUGUAUGUCUAAAUUCUGGCCAAAGCAGUGGAAGCAGAAGCAGUGCGUGGGCCAGCUGUUCUCCUUUGCUGUUGGUUCCUUUGCUGGCUGGAAUGCACUUAGGAUGCUGGGAUCCAGCAGCACUCUGACAGUUGAGAAGAUCUUAUCAAUGAAAGCCAAUUAAUGGCAUCAAACUGCAAGGAAACAAAAAAGCCUGUGGCUCCACCAUCACUAUCUGAGACAUUCUUGAGAAUGAAAUAAACAGUCUUGUUUAAAUCACUUUUUAGAAAUGUUUUAGUGUUAUUUGUAGGCAAAUGUAAUCCCAAUUAAUAUAGCCUCAAAACUAGUAGGGUUUGUAAAAGGAGUGAGGAGAGGAGUUAAUCCAAAAGAAGGGAAGAAAGAGGAAAAAAGGCACCUCAGAAAAGGAGGCUGGGCUCAGUGGCUCACGCCUGUAAUUCCAACACUUUGGGAGGCCCAGGUAGGAGGACUGCUUAAGGCUAGAAGUUUGAGACCAGCCUGGGCAACAUAGUGAGAGACCAUCUCUAUUUAAAUAAAUAAAUUAAAAUACAUUUAAAAAGCACAAAUCCCCCAAAAUAACAUGGUAAGAAUGAACCUAAAUAUAUAGAAGUCACCUCGUAAAAAUGGACUACACUACCUAUUUCUAAAAUAAAAAUCAGGAAACUGGAUAAAACAUAAAAUCCAGGUAUAUGCUGAUUACAAGAGACAUGAUUAAUAAGGACAGUGAAAGGUAAAAAGUAAAUGGAUGGAAAGAGAUAUACCAGACAAACACUAAUCAAAGGAAGUCUGCUACUGUAAUAGUCAUAAUACAUAUAACUCUUAGGCAAACACAAACAGAGAUUCUGAAAAACAGAAUGGAUCAGUGAACAUCUGCCAGGAAUAUUACAAUUCUAAACUUGAUCCAUCCAAUAUCUUCAAAAUAUAUAAAACAAAAGUUUUUUAAGGAGAAAUGGACAAACCAUUUUAUAGAAAGUGGUGUGAUACAGACAUGCAAUGAAUGGAAAACAGUAAACUCAAGCUCAUCUUUUGGAUGGACGCAUCCCUCCCACAUUCCAGUUCUGCCUUCACACCUAAUCUCAGUGGUCCUUGGAGUGACUGGUGGGCCUCCUCUCUCCUGGAUGCCAGUUUCAAAUCUGCUCUCCAGAGACGUCCUACGCGUCCUCUCCACCUCCUUACCCUGAGGUGAUGACUCUGCUCCCAUCUGCCUCACCUCACCUCUCCUCAGACAUGGCCUUUCUCCUGUCACUGUGGAGAAGCUAUCUGUUCUCUACUUGGGCACUAAUUCGAUUCCUUCUCACCUAAGGAUAACCCCAACAGUUGCCUGUUUUCUCUCCAGCAUAAUAAGCUCCCUUUCUCUAACAAGGUCAUUCUCAGCAACAUAUAAACAUGCUUAUAUUGCUCCAUUAAAAAAACAAAACAAGGACAGGCGCGGUGGCUCAUGCCUGUAAUCCUAACACUGUGGGAGGCUGAGAUGGGGGGAUUGUUUAAACCCAGGAGUUUGAGACCAGCCUAGGCAACAAAGCGAGAUUGCAUCUCUAUAAAAAAGAAAUUUUUAAUUAGGCAGGUGUGGUGGUGCACCCCUGUGUUCCCAGCUACUUGGGAGGCUGGGGUGGGAGGAUCAGUGGAGCCCAGGAGUUCAAGGCUGCAUUGAGCUGAGAUCACACCACUGCACUUCAGCCUGGGUGACAAAGUGAGACCCUAUCUCAAAACAACAGCAACAACAACGAAACAGCUGUCUCCUUUGACCCUACAUCCCUCCAUUUCUCUGCUUCCUUGUACAGGAAAAUCCAUGCAUGUGGUCUCCAAUUACUCUCCUGUUUUCUCUUCUCUUAAUCCUCCUCCUCUCAGGCUACCUUACCCAUGCUUCUGCCAUCACAAUUCCACCAAAAUGGCCCUUUAUGUAUCUAAUGACCUCUGCCUUUCUAGAUCUGGCUUGGUGAGCCCUUCAGCUGCCUUUGACACUGGAUUCUCCCUUGAGAACGUUGUUCAGGUGGCUUCCAAUUGCUCUUCCUUUGAUCUUGCUGUUUAUUCCUCCCUUUCCACCGCUAAGUGUUCAUGUCUCUGGGAUCAGUCUUUAGACAGCUUGUCUUCUCUACUUAUUAGGCAUUCUCAUCUUAUUCAUCUUAAUCUAUACUCUGGUGACUCCCAGAUAGAAUCUUCAAACUGGACCUAUCCCCAGACUCAUAUAUCCAACUGCCUGCUUGACUUCUCUAUUCUGAUGUCUAACAAAGCAUAUCAAAUUUAACAUGUUCCAAACCAAACUCCUGACUUUCCCCCAGAUCGACAUUUCCUAUAGUUUUCCCCAUUUCAGUGGCAAUGCCAUCCUCUUCUUCACUCAGACUCCAAGCCAUGUUUGGCUCCCUUACUCUUACCCAUAUCUAAUCUGUCGAGAAAUCCUGUUCUAUCUUCAAGAUAUAUCCACAGUCUGAUUCCUCCAUUAAAGUCUCUCUUACACAGAUUGUUAAAUCCUCCUAACUCAUCUCCCAGCUUCCAUUUGUGUGCCAAUGGAAGGUACACAGAGGUUCUCAUUUGGAUAGAGAAGCCAGAUUAAUUCUUUUUUUUUUUUUUUUUUUUUUUUUGAG
rnacentral:lncRNA from 1 species